GGAUCACACCUAUGGCCCCAGUCCUUCGAAUGACUGAAUGGCUUAGAGGGCAUUAUGCGCGGUCACCAGUGCAAUUUGUGCAUCUGUAGGUAGAGGGUUCAGAUAGAGUAAGUAGUUCGUAAAAAAGGAGUUCCCUGGUUGGUACCGAUAGAUAGAGCUACUGGUAAGAUAAGAAAAGGCCGUUGAGAGUGGAAGGAGUAGCUGUAUAGGGACCAGUUAGGGUGACAAUCUAGUAUAGCAUUGCUAACAGGUCGG
rnacentral:misc_RNA from 1 species